UACGUAGGUGACAAGCGUUGUCCGGAUUUACUGGGCGUAAAGAGCGCGCAGGCGGUCGAUCAAGUCGAGUGUGAAAGCCCCCGGCUCAACUGGGGAGGGUCACGCGAUACUGGUCGACUCGAAGGCAGGAGAGGGUAGUGGAAUUCCCGGUGUAGUGGUGAAAUGCGUAGAUAUCGGGAGGAACACCAGUGGCGAAGGCGACUACCUGGCCUGUUCUUGACGCUGAGGCGCGAAAGCUAGGGGAGCAAACGGG
rnacentral:rRNA from 1 species